rnacentral:rRNA from 1 species
UACGUAGGGGGCAAGCGUUGUCCGGAAUCAUUGGGCGUAAAGCGCGUGUAGGCGGCCCGGUAAGUCCGCUGUGAAAGUCGGGGGCUCAACCCUCGGAUGCCGGUGGAUACUGUCGGGCUCGAGUACGGAAGAGGCGAGUGGAAUUCCUGGUGUAGCGGUGAAAUGCGCAGAUAUCAGGAGGAACACCAAUUGCGAAGGCAGCUCGCUGGGACGUAACUGACGCUGAGACGCGAAAGCGUGGGGAGCAAACAGG